GACGAACCGUGCGAACGUUGUUCGGAAUCACUGGGCGUAAAGGGUGCGUAGGCGGGUCUUUAAGUCAGGGGUGAAAUCCUGGAGCUCAACUCCAGAACUGCCUUUGAUACUGAAGAUCUUGAGUUCGGGAGAGGUGAGUGGAACUGCGAGUGUAGAGGUGAAAUUCGUAGAUAUUCGCAAGAACACCAGUGGCGAAGGCGGCUCACUGGCCCGAUACUGACGCUGAGGCACGAAAGCGUGGGGAGCGAACAGG
rnacentral:rRNA from 1 species